CUGAUGCCAAUCUCCUUCCUGCUGUUUCUAUCAAGAGGUGCUUAGAAGUCAUCACUCCAGCCUAACAAGUAAAAAAACUGAACGAACUGAAAAAUCAACAGCUCUUCUAAGAUCUGUCAGAGACUUGAGGCCAGAGGGCAAAUCACUGCCCCCAAAAUUGGAGAGACAGACAGGCAGACACAGAGAACCCCAACAUGAGCAGAAACUGCUGAACAGAAACUUCUGUUUGAACCCCUCCCUGGGUAGGCAGACUGCAUUGUAAUUAAAGUAUGGCUGGAGGCUCAGUGUGGACAAGCCUGAAAAUGAAAACCUCCAGAGGAGCCAGUCACAGGAGGAGCCCUGCAUUUUUGUGAGCUUUAUCUCUGGGAACUGUACCAGAGGCCGGAGGAGAAAAACACCUUACUUAUAAAGGAGCAAAUAAAACAGUUACUUCUGAGUUCUCAGAAACCAUGCAAGCAAGAAGAAAGUGGAGUGAAAUGUUUAAAGUGCUGAGAGAAGAAAAUCACCAACCUAGAAUUCUGUACCCUGUGAAAUCAUCUUUCAAAAGUGAAGGAGAAAUAAAAGCUGUCUCAGAUAUACAAAAACUGAGAAAAUUUGUUGCCAGUGAUCUGCUCUGUAAGAAAUGUAAAACAAGUUCUUGAGAGAAGAAAAAUGACAUAGGUCAGAAACUCAGGUCUACAUAAAGAAAGAAAGAGCACUGGAGAAAGAAUAAGUAAAGGAACAUCAAGUGAGACUGAAAUCUUGAUUAAAAGUACAUUGUUGGGCUUCCCUGGUGGCGCAGUGGUUGAGAAUCUGCCUGCUAAUGCAGGGGACACGGGUUCGAGCCCUGGUCUGGGAAGAUCCCACAUGCCGCGGAGCAGCUGGGCCCGUGAGCCACAAUUGCUGAGCCUGCGCGUCUGGAGCCUGUGCCCCGCGACGGGAGGGGCCGCGAUAGAGAAAGGCCCGCGCACCGCGAUGAAGAGCGGUCCCCGCACCGCGAUGAAGAGUGGCCCCCGCUUGCCGCAACUGGAGAAAGCCCUCGCACGAACCGAAGACCCAACACAGCCAAAAAUAAAUAAAUAAAUAAAUAAAUAAGAAAAUCCUUUAAAAAAAAAAAAAAAGUACAUUGUUUAAGUAAAUUAUAGGGACUAAUUACCUUUGGGAUAGAAUUACACAUUUUAAGUAGCUGAACACAAUCGAUAAAGGCAGACCAUUUAGAUAACUAAAUCUGAUUAUUUUCUUUAUAUAUAAAUCCCUCUCCUCUCUUUUAUUCUAUGUUGAGAAUUACUGAUAUGCUUUGAUUUGAUACAGAAAUUCACAUUAAGUCUUUGGACUAUAAGUAAUUAUUUCAUUUUUACUAACUUGUCUCCCAAGGUAUCUGCACUGCAAGAAUAUGUUGGGGUCUAUUCUUAAAGAGUCCUUCAAAUCUCAUCAAAUGUACUUUCUAUGAUGUAACUACACAGAUAGAAUUACCUUAGAGGGGAAUAUAAUACAGUUGUUUUUUUUAAAGGAAAAAUCUAUUGUCACAAAAUUACAAAGCCACAGAUAGAAAUCAUCUACCAUAACACUGUACGAGCUCAGUAAAGAUGCAAGACCACAACUGUUUUAACACCGUCUACUUCCUGGUUGGGCAGCUAGAAUAAGCAUAAGGAAAUAUUUUAACAAAUAAAAUUCUAAUUCCAAACCAUGGUAAUCAAAGGAAUGUAACCUACAUCUCCUAUAUCUUAACUAUAGUUGGAUCCUUUAAGGUAGCUAUUAGAUGACUUGGAAGCUGUCUUGUACUGGAAAUGAGAACAAAGUAUCCUUCUUUAUGUCAAAGACAUGAAUUUACUGUUUAGAAUCAGAAAUAGUCUUCGAAACAUUUAGACCUGGGACUUCCCUGGUGGUGCAGUGGUUAAAAAUCCGCCUGCCAAUGCAGAGGACAUGGGUUCGAGCCCUGGUCCGGGUAGAUCCCACAUGCUGCGGAGCAGCUAAGCUCGUGUGCCACAACUACUCAGCCUGUACUCUAGAGCCCACGAGCCACAACUACUAAGUCCACGUACCACAACUACUGAAGGCUGUGCGCCUAGAGCCCGUGCUCUGCAGCAAGAGAAGCCACUGCAAUGAGAAGCCCGUGCACCACAACGAAGAGUAGCCCCUGCUCACCGCAAUGAGAGAAAGCCCGUGCGCAGCAACAAAGACCCAACGCAGCCAAAAAAAUAAAAAUAAAAUAAAUUAAUUAAUUAAAAAACAAUUAGACCUGUUUUCCAAUGCCUGUAUAUUUCAAUACCAGCCAUGAAAAAAAAAUUGAAAGUUGAAUUUCUCAGAUAACCUUCAAAAUUUAAAUAGGAGAUACUAAGUUUUCCAACAGCACAAUUCUAACUUUGUUAGACAAAAUUGUUUCUUUUAUAUUCUGGUAAUCUAAUUAAAUAUUUGUGCAAGAAAAUUCA